CCGUGCUUAGUGUGGAGCCCAACGCAGGACUUGAUCCCAUGAACCUUGGGAUCAUGACCUGAGCUGAAAUCAAGGGUCGGAUGCUUAACUGACUGAGCCACCCAGACAGCCCUAAAUAUUCAUACUUUUAAAGUGGAAUUUACUUGAAAGGGACAACCAAAAAUCAACCAGAUAAAUCUUAUAAGUGUGAAAGAGGAAUCUGGGAACUAUUAAUGUCCUUUUAAAAAGUAGUAUGAUUUUUUAAAUAAUGAAAAAAGAAUCAUAAAUUAUGAAAACUGAUUCCUUUUUUUUAAAAGAUGAUGUCCAUGUUCUUAGAAAACUAUUUCACAGUCUUCUGAGUUGGCUUAAAAGUAAAUAAAAAACAAUAAUUUUAUCAAUGAGUCCUAUGGAGCCCUGAAGGUCAUGGUCAAACCCAGGAUGCAGUUCUCCUCUCAGAGGGAGGAGACUGAAGGACAAAUAUGAAACCCAAUGGUAUUGUCUCAUAUUCCAUGUACAUUUUCCACGGUACUUUCAAGUCACUGUAAGUAGGAAGGCUUUUAGAAUGGGGUUUGAAUAAUUUAUAUAGGGAAAGAGCAUGUGAAGAAAAAUCUUUUAAGGUGGACCAUCAUGUUAGGGCUAAUUGUUGGUUUGAUGUGCAACUCAAAGUUGGGGUAUCCUCCUCCCAGUGCAUUAUCAGUCACCGUGCAGGGCUUCAUUCCAACACACCUCACCAUGAAGGCUGAGACCUCACCCAUGCUUACCUUUGCUAGGUCCACCAAGGUGUUGGCUUGGUCAUUCAGUUUCCUCUGCUCCAUUUUUACACUUCUUAAUCUAAAAGACAGAAUCUCAAGUCAGAAGGGUUCCUUCCUGUCUACUGCUGUCAUAACGCCUUCCAAAGAGCAUGCAUAAAAUCGACAAGAGCAAAUAACUGCAUGGAUAAUGCCUUGAACAUUUGGGGGUCAAGUUCAAACUGGUUAUGUAUCUGGAACAAUGAGAAGCAUGCUUCCCCAACACCGCAAAAAGGAAAGGAGAGAGAGAGAGAGGAGAGUAAGAGAUGAGGUGUCCUUAGGACAACUAUUUACCAGGGAGUUAAAAGUUGAAUCGGGAGAGAGGCUCAUAAGGACUUAACCAUAUGAGAAAAGCCAAAACAUUCCUUAAAAUCCCAGUAUCAUUUCAAAUAGACAUAGGAAGAAAUAGGCAAAGCGACUAGACUUUCAUCAAUGUUGGAGCAGUGAGCACCUUCCUAUGCCUACAUGACUAGAUACACAGGAUAGCCCUGUUCAGUUUGAGAUGGAUUGGGUUAGGUAUUUGAACCUGAUGAAAACACAGUGAUAAGUGAGAUUCUUAGUAGCAAAAAUAAGACUUUUAUUCAACCAGCAGCAAGAGAACCCAAAACACAUAAGUCUCUUAUUCUUCAUUGUGUUUUGCUCGACUUUUAUCUUAAACUGCCAUCGAAUUUGAAGGGAAGCCAGGCCAUUUCCUUGGGAGAAUUUCCCUUAAUUUUUUUCUUGUAGAUAAAAGUCAGCGGACAAUUAAAAUGUCUGACAGAUGGGGUUUCUGGUUGUAAACUUACUUUUAGAUGCUUUUAAAUAUCAGUGCAUAUAUCUGAUUGACAGUCAAAACACUGCUGUUAAAAAAAAAAAUCUUUCUUAAGGAUGACUUUUACUAGUCCUUACUUUAUUUACUAUAAUAUUUUUGAAAACGUAUUUAUUGGGUGCUUACUCCCUACCAAGAAAUUAAGAUUUUCCAACAGGAGAAAAGGGGUUGUUUGUUCUUUAAGCCAACAAUCCGAGCCAUGCUCCAAAUGAGAAGCACAUUUCUCUUGGGUACUUAGUUUAAAAACAAAAAAACAAAAAACAAAAUCCAUGCUAACCUUAUUACCUGUAAAUGACAUGUCAUUUACAGAGUAUAGUGUCGAUGUUGGAGAGAGUAAUCUUUAUAAUUUCCCAAUUUCAAUGAAAGGUAGUUACAAAAAAAAGGAUCAAAAAUUCACAGGGCAAGAUUUUACUGCCAGGGAGAUUUUUACAACAAAUGUUCAGUAGUGCGCAGUGAUUUUGUUUUGAAACUACGCUAUGCAAUAUGUCACCAAGUCUGCUUGACAGUGAAGACAGACUUCCUUCUGCCAGUAUGGGUUUAACUGACACCUGCCUAUAACAUGAUAUUUAACAAUGUAAAACAGCUUAAGGUUAUCACUUGCCGUUGCGAGUCUGUGUUUCCCUAUUAGAAUGCUUGGAAGUAAGUUAAUUGGCUCUUUUCUACACUAUUCUAGAGAUGGACUGGGUGUAAGUGUAAAAGGAAUUUACAAACAGGUAUUCAAAUCUAACAUGUUGUUGAGAUAGGCUUCUCUAAGUACUCACAAGGGUUACAAUUCUUGAUGUACACCUUUUAAAAACAAGUCCCCUUCCACCCCUCUCCCCCCUGCAAAAAACAAAAAACAACCCUUUAAACAUGUGUGAGGUCAUUUUACAGAAAUGUACUAGAGAGAACAACAGUGUCAGAUGUGGACUCCCUUCUCCCUGGCCCUAUUUGACCUUCAGUUUCUUAAUGUAUGAAAUGAAGUGGGUUAGGAUAGGAUGGUAUUUCUAAAGUGCUGUAUUUGUACCGACAGAGGUGUUCGAGGUGGCUAUGUGAUACUCAAACCAGAAGACAUUAAAUACUAAACCAGAUGGAGAGACAGUUACUCCCUUUUAUCCUCUUCCAAUUCUUGAUUAUUACAAGAAAAAUGUCUCAGGCUGGUCCUCUCCUGUUUUUAUCUCCCAACACCUGCUCUUCUCUCCUUUUUGAAAAGAGAGCAGGAUUUCAGCUGAGCGCUUCCUGCAUGCAGCAGUUCCGUGGCUAGAAUUCAACACCAGUGUUUCAAAUGUUGGUGGAUGCAACCUCUCCUUCUCUUUGCUGGGAGCAGGAGUGGCUUUUUGUUUUUGUUUCAUUUUUGUUUUUGUUGGGUUAGCCAUUUUGUGAUAAUGAUUUACACCAAGCUUUAUUUUCAAGUUCAAGGAAUGGGACCCUUCACACAUGAAUGACUCAAGUCUGGGGAACCAGAUCAGAAGCCUCCAACCACUUGGGAGUGCAGGCAAGACCCUGAGGUUGGCAAGCCCAGUGAAAGGGCCAGUGUGUGUCCCUUAGCUGAGGUACAUCAUUCUGAUAGAAAGGGUUAUAAAUACGAUCCCGGAGGACAUGGGGUAUGUGGCUGCUUGACCCAUAGACUGACCGCACCUGCCCACACCAACAAAGAAAUGCCACUGAGUUAAGAGCAAGGCUGCACAGCCUCGAGACUGAUGCCCACAUGAAUGUACUUACGGUAAGGAUGCUGCCAGCCUGGGGGAGAAAGAGCUGGUGGCUUUCAAGUCAUUAUUGAUACUUACUACAUAGACAUUUGUCUUUUCAAAGUCUAUGAUAGUUAUACAUAGCAUAGAAACAAGAUAACAUGAAAGAACUUAAGCAUAUGGAAUAAUGGUGGCCUCCGUAAGGUCAGAAUCAUUGUAAAAGGCACUAUAAAAUCUAUAAUGAACAUACAGCAAAUAGAAAAUCCCCUAUGUCCUGAGUAAAGACUAGUUUAAAAAUGCAAGUAUUAAAUCAAGUGUAGGUACUGCCUUCAUAGAAAGAUGUUGGCAGCCUGUUUAAAAAAAAACCCAGAGCAAUCAUAAAAUAUUAAAUGUUUUUCAAGAUUUUGCAGUCAAUACAAACGAAACAUCCGAGGGCAAGCCAUAUGAAUAAAUAAGUUAUAUUAAGAUAUACAAUUGCAACUGAAAAUAAGGUUUCUAAAGAGAGAAACUGAGAAGACAUUUUAAUUAAUAUAUUAAAUGACUCUGCUCCCAAUAAGGGAUGAUUUUUGAGUCCAAAAAAGAACUGACAAUUUUCUCAGCAUUUCAUUUAUGGAAUUAUUAAAUUGCCAAAUAAUGUCUUCUGGGAACACACAUGACAGUGUUUUCUUUUUUCCCCCUCUCACAAAAGAAGAAUAACCAAGUAUGGGAAAUUAAGACCCAGAGUUACAAAAAGCAGGAUGACAAUGAAUGAAAAAUGGUACUUACUGA